UUCCCCCCUUUUCAGGAGAAUCAUUUCUAUAGUAUUCGACCUCUUCUAGGUUCCCUAAAGGAGCCACAGAUCCCAACCAGGUUGAUGACUACAAAUCCUCGAUGCCCUAGAGUGAAGCCGACUUUUACUCUCGCCCUGUCCGCAAGGAUGGCGGUCGUUGCCUUUGGCGGCGACUGUAUAGAGAGUGGUGAUGAUCUCUACCCUGAUUUCCCGAGGUCUUGCCUUCGGGCGCUUGGGCAGGGUGGGCGUCGAUGGACGUCUGACUGGC
rnacentral:snoRNA from 1 species